rnacentral:misc_RNA from 1 species
GCAAACUUGGUCAUUUAGAGGAAGUAAAAGUCGUAACAAGGUUUCCGUAGGUGAACCUGCGGAAGGAUCAUUACCGAAUAAAAUCCGGUUGGGGUUGUUGCUGCCCUCUGUGGGGAAUGUGCACACCUUGCCAUUGUUUUCAACCUCCUCUUCACCUGUGCACCUCCUUGUAGACCGGAUCGCCAUUUCAAAUCUGCAAGCCAUGCUGUGCAUGUUGCAGGUUGGCAGGCCUUUUUUCACUGGAGGCCAGUUUGGAUGUAGUUCCACCGCACAACUUGUUGUGGAUGGUGAUGGCUUUCCCCGGGCACAUCCGGUCUAUGCCCUUUUAUCAUAUACCCCCUUCCUACAUGUUUGUUGUUUCUCUUUAAUAAAUACUACAACUUUCGACAAUGGAUCUCUUGGCUCUCGCAUCGAUGAAGAACGCAGC